rnacentral:rRNA from 1 species
UACGGAGGGUGCAAGCGUUAAUCGGAAUUACUGGGCGUAAAGCGCGCGUAGGCGGCUUAUUAAGUUGGGUGUGAAAUCCCCGGGCUCAACCUGGGAACUGCAUCCAAAACUGGUAAGCUAGAGUGUGUGAGAGGUGAGUGGAAUUUCCAGUGUAGCGGUGAAAUGCGUAGAGAUUGGAAGGAACAUCAGUGGCGAAGGCGACUCACUGGCAUAACACUGACGCUGAGGUGCGAAAGCGUGGGUAGCAAAC